rnacentral:rRNA from 1 species
UACGGAGGGGGCUAGCGUUGUUCGGAAUUACUGGGCGUAAAGCGCACGUAGGCGGCUUUGUAAGUUAGAGGUGAAAGCCCGGGGCUCAACUCCGGAAUUGCCUUUAAGACUGCAUCGCUAGAAUUGUGGAGAGGUAAGUGGAAUUCCGAGUGUAGAGGUGAAAUUCGUAGAUAUUCGGAAGAACACCAGUGGCGAAGGCGACUUACUGGACACAUAUUGACGCUGAGGUGCGAAAGCGUGGGGAGCAAUCAGG